rnacentral:tRNA from 1 species
ACUUAUAUAAUAUAAUUUAUUAUAUUUGACUUCCAAUCAAAAAAUCUAAAAUCUAGUAUAAGUAA